rnacentral:misc_RNA from 1 species
GAUGGAAGAACGCAGCGAAAUGCGAUACUUGGUGUGAAUUGCAGAAUCCCGUGAACCAUCGAGUCUUUGAACGCAAGUUGCGCCCGAAGCCAUUAGGCCGAGGGCACGCCUGCCUGGGCGUCACACGUCGUUGCCCCCCCAUCUACUCCUUCGGGAUUGCGGGGGGCGGAUGAUGGCCUCCCGUGCGCCUCGCCGCGCGGUUGGCAUAAAUGCCAAGUCCUCGGCGACGCACGCCACGACAAUCGGUGGUUGCGAAACCUCGGUUGCCCGUCGUGUGCGGUCGUCGCGCAUCGAGGGCUCGAAAAAAUUGCCGGGUUCCGGCUCGGCUUUCAACGCGACCCCAGGUCAGGCGGGAUUACCCGCUGAAUUUAAGCAUAUCAAUAAGCGGAGGA